UCCUCCUUAGCUCAGUCGGUAGAGCAUUCGGCUGUUAACCGAAGUGUCGUUGGUUCGAGUCCGACAGGGGGAGCGA
rnacentral:tRNA from 1 species